rnacentral:rRNA from 1 species
AAGUCGAGCGGACAGAAGGGAGCUUGCUCCCGGAUGUUAGCGGCGGACGGGUGAGUAACACGUGGGUAACCUGCCUGUAAGACUGGGAUAACUCCGGGAAACCGGAGCUAAUACCGGAUAGUUCCUUGAACCGCAUGGUUCAAGGAUGAAAGACGGUUUCGGCUGUCACUUACAGAUGGACCCGCGGCGCAUUAGCUAGUUGGUGGGGUAAUGGCUCACCAAGGCGACGAUGCGUAGCCGACCUGAGAGGGUGAUCGGCCACACUGGGACUGAGACACGGCCCAGACUCCUACGGGAGGCAGCAGUAGGGAAUCUUCCGCAAUGGACGAAAGUCUGACGGAGCAACGCCGCGUGAGUGAUGAAGGUUUUCGGAUCGUAAAGCUCUGUUGUUAGGGAAGAACAAGUGCGAGAGUAACUGCUCGCACCUUGACGGUACCUAACCAGAAAGCCACGGCUAACUACGUGCCAGCAGCCGCGGUAAUACGUAGGUGGCAAGCGUUGUCCGGAAUUAUUGGGCGUAAAGGGCUCGCAGGCGGUUUCUUAAGUCUGAUGUGAAAGCCCCCGGCUCAACCGGGGAGGGUCAUUGGAAACUGGGAAACUUGAGUGCAGAAGAGGAGAGUGGAAUUCCACGUGUAGCGGUGAAAUGCGUAGAGAUGUGGAGGAACACCAGUGGCGAAAGCGACUCUCUGGUCUGUAACUGACGCUCAGGAGCGAAAGCGUGGGGAGCGAACAGUAGGUGGCAAGCGUUGUCCGGAAUUAUUGGGCGUAAAGGGCUGGCAGGCGGUUUUUUAAGUCUGAUGUGAAAGCCCCCGGCUCAACCGGGGAGGGUCAUUGGAAACUGGGAAACUUGAGUGCAGAAGAGGAGAGUGGAAUUCCACGUGUAGCGGUGAAAUGCGUAGAGAUGUGGAGGAACACCAGUGGCGAAGGCGACUCUCUGGUCUGUAACUGACGCUGAGGAGCGAAAGCGUGGGGAGCGAACAGGAUUAGAUACCCUGGUAGUCCACGCCGUAAACGAUGAGUGCUAAGUGUUAGGGGGUUUCCGCCCCUUAGUGCUGCAGCUAACGCAUUAAGCACUCCGCCUGGGGAGUACGGUCGCAAGACUGAAACUCAAAGGAAUUGACGGGGGCCCGCACAAGCGGUGGAGCAUGUGGUUUAAU